rnacentral:rRNA from 1 species
AACGAACGCUGGCGGCAUGCCUAACACAUGCAAGUCGAACGAGACCUUCGGGUCUAGUUGCGCACGGGUGCGUAACGCGUGGGAACCUGCCCUUAGGUUCGGAAUAACUCCCCGAAAGGGGUGCUAAUACCGGAUAAUGUCUUCGGACCAAAGAUUUAUCGCCUUUGGAUGGGCCCGCGUUGGAUUAGCUAGUUGGUAGGGUAAAAGCCUACCAAGGCGACGCUCCAUAGCUGGUCUGAGAGGAUGAUCAGCCACACUGGGACUGAGACACGGCCCAGACUCCUACGGGAGGCAGCAGUGGGGAAUAUUGGACAAUGGGCGAAAGCCUGAUCCAGCAAUGCCGCGUGAGUGAUGAAGGCCUUAGGGUUGUAAAGCUCUUUUACCCGGGAUGAUAAUGACAGUACCGGGAGAAUAAGCUCCGGCUAACUCCGUG